rnacentral:rRNA from 1 species
UACGUAGGGUGCGAGCGUUAAUCGGAAUUACUGGGCGUAAAGCGUGCGUAGGCGGUUCGUUAAGUUCGUUGUGAAAGCCCCGGGCUCAACCUGGGAAUGGCAAUGGAAACUGGCGGGCUGGAGUAUGGCAGAGGGGGGUGGAAUUCCGCGUGUAGCAGUGAAAUGCGUAGAUAUUCGGAAGAACACCAGUGGCGAAAGCGGCCACCUGGACUGCACCUGACGCUGACACGCGAAAGCUAGGGGAGCGAACGGG